GACGAACGCUGGCGGCGUGCUUAACACAUGCAAGUCGAACGGAAAGGCCCUGCUUUUGUGGGGUGCUCGAGUGGCGAACGGGUGAGUAACACGUGAGUAACCUGCCCUUGACUUUGGGAUAACUUCAGGAAACUGGGGCUAAUACCGGAUAGGAGCUCCUGCUGCAUGGUGGGGGUUGGAAAGUUUCGGCGGUUGGGGAUGGACUCGCGGCUUAUCAGCUUGUUGGUGGGGUAGUGGCUUACCAAGGCUUUGACGGGUAGCCGGCCUGAGAGGGUGACCGGCCACAUUGGGACUGAGAUACGGCCCAGACUCCUACGGGAGGCAGCAGUGGGGAAUAUUGCACAAUGGGCGGAAGCCUGAUGCAGCUACGCCGCGUGCGGGAUGACGGCCUUCGGGCUGUAAACCGCUUUCGCCUGUGACGAAGCGUGAGUGACGGUAAUGGGUAAAGAAGCACCGGCUAACUACGUG
rnacentral:rRNA from 1 species